ACUCAAAUGAAUUGACGGGGGCCCGCACAAGCAGCGGAGCAUGUGGCUUAAUUCGACGCAACGCGAAGAACCUUACCAAGGCUUGACAUACGCCGGAAAACCCUGGAGACAGGGUCCCCCUUGUGGUCGGUGUACAGGUGGUGCAUGGCUGUCGUCAGCUCGUGUCGUGAGAUGUUGGGUUAAGUCCCGCAACGAGCGCAACCCUUGUUCUGUGUUGCCAGCACGCCCUUCGGGGUGGUGGGGACUCACAGGAGACUGCCGGGGUCAACUCGGAGGAAGGUGGGGACGACGUCAAGUCAUCAUGCCCCUUAUGUCUUGGGCUGCACACGUGCUACAAUGGCAGGUACAAAGAGCUGCGAUACCGUGAGGUUGAGCGAAUCUCAAAAAGCCUGUCUCAGUUCGGAUUGGGGUCUGCAACUCGACCCCAUGAAGUCGGAGUUGCUAGUAAUCGCAGAUCAGCAUUGCUGCGGUGAAUACGUUCCCGGGCCUUGCACACACCGCCCGU
rnacentral:rRNA from 1 species